UGGGGAAUAUUGCACAAUGGGCGCAAGCCUGAUGCAGCCAUGCCGCGUGUAUGAAGAAGGCCUUCGGGUUGUAAAGUACUUUCAGCGGGGAGGAAGGCGAUAAGGUUAAUAACCUUGUCGAUUGACGUUACCCGCAGAAGAAGCACCGGCUAACUCCGUGCCAGCAGCCGCGGUAAUACGGAGGGGGCAAGCGUUAAUCGGAAUUCCUGGGCGUAAAGCGCGCGCAGGCGGUCUGUCAAGUCGGAUGUGAAAUCCCCGGGCUCAACCUGGGAACUGCAUUCGAAACUGGCAGGCUAGAGUCUUGUAGAGGGGGGUAGAAUUCCAGGUGUAGCGGUGAAAUGCGUAGAGAUCUGGAGGAAUACCGGUGGCGAAGGCGGCCCCCUGGACAAAGACUGACGCUCAGGUGCGAAAGCGUGGGGAGCAAACA
rnacentral:rRNA from 1 species